rnacentral:sRNA from 1 species
GGAGGGGCCGCGCGCGGGGCCGAGAGGAAAGCUGGCUCCGGGGUUUCUCUGGAAACCCCCCUGGUAAGUGUGGAGGAGGCGGGACACUCUGACCCAAGACGAAAGGCCUGUAGCUCCAGCCAAAGAAAAUAAACCUUAGGAAGGAGAAGGAAAAAAAAAAAUCCAUCAGCUGUUCCUGAGAACAGCCUGCAUUGGAACCUACAGAGAGGACAACUAAUGUGAGUGAGGAAGUGACUGUAUGUGGACUGUGGAGACAGUAAGUCACGUGGGCCCUUGAGGGCCUGGACUGGGUUAGGAACAGUUGUACUUUCAGAGGUGAGGUGUCAAGAAGGGAAAGUGAAUGUGGUCUGGAGUGUGUCCUUGGCCUUGGCUCCACAGGGUGUGCUUUCCUCUGGGGCCAUCAGGGAGCUCAGCCCUUGUGUUCUGCCAGGGUGGGGUACGGGGUUUGACACUGAGGAGGGUAACCUGCUGGCUGGAG